AUAUCUCUGUAGAGUCUGCAUAUCAAUAAGCGGAGGAAAAGAAACUAACUAGGAUUCCCUCAGUAACGGCGAGUGAAGCGGGAAGAGCUCAAAUUUGAAAUCUUAAAGGGUUUACCUUGACGAAUUGUAGUUUAAAGAAGUGUUUUCUGUUGAGGUUUUGGUAAAAGUUCUUUGGAAUAGGACAUCAUAGAGGGUGAGAAUCCCGUAUUUGACCUUUACUUUCAACUUUGUGAUACACUUUCAAAGAGUCGGAUUGUUUGGGAAUGCAGUCCAAAAUGGGUGGUAAAUUUCAUCUAAAGCUAAAUAUUGGCGAGAGACCGAUAGCGAACAAGUACCGUGAGGGAAAGAUGAAAAGAACUUUGAAAAGAGAGUUAAACAGUACGUGAAAUUGUCAAAAGGGAAGCGUUUGACACCAGUGUUGUUUUUCUGAAAAUCAAUUAAAGAACUGUUUAUGCUAAGUCGUUUAGACUUUAUCAGCUAACUGUUUAGUUUUGAGCUUUUCUUUAAUGCACUUUUCAGUUAACAAGUCAACAUCAAUUUCUUUUGCUGUAAAAAAGCUUGAGGAAGGUGGCUUGAGAUUCGUCUUAAGUGUUUAUAGCCUCUUGCCUAUGCAGUCGGAGAGAUUGAGGUCUGCAGCGUAGAUCCUUCGGGGCUAAAUGCAUUUGUGCUAAGUUAUAGCAUUUUAUAGACAACUUGUUGACUAUGAUUUGUCUUGUAGCUUACUCGCUUAUGUUAUUUUACCUACGCUUAGGAUGUUGACGAUCAGCUGAGCGCG
rnacentral:rRNA from 1 species